rnacentral:rRNA from 1 species
ACUCCUACGGGAGGCAGCAGUAGGGAAUUUUCCGCAAUGGACGAAAGUCUGACGGAGCAAUGCCGCGUGAGUGAUGAAGGUUUUCGAAUCGUAAAGCUCUGUUGUAAGGGAAGAAUAGCAAGAAUAGGAAAUGAUUCUUGUCUGACGGUACCUUACCAGAAAGCCACGGCUAACUACGUGCCAGCAGCCGCGGUAAUACGGAGGGUGCGAGCGUUAAUC